rnacentral:misc_RNA from 1 species
UCACACUAUCAAGCUUGGCUUGUUGUUGGGCCCUUUGUCACCUGGUGACAGGUCCAAAAGACAAUAACCGGUGUCAUACAGACUCUAUAUGCAACGAGCUUAUCACAGCACGCAUCUGGUAGUCGUGUGGCCCGGUUUUUAAAUAUAUUUCGAGGAUAAAUAUAUUUCUCAA